UACGUAUGGUGCAAGCGUUAUCCGGAUUUACUGGGUUUAAAGGGUGCGUAGGCUGUGAGGUAAGUCAGCGGUGAAAUGCCCCCGCUCAACGGGGUGAAGUGCCAUUGAUACUGCCUUGCUGGAAUGCGGAUGCCGUGGGAGGAAUGUGUGGUGUAGCGGUGAAAUGCAUAGAUAUCACACAGAACACCGAUUGCGAAGGCAUCUCACGAAUCCGCGAUUGACGCUGAUGCACGAAAGCGUGGGUAUCAAACAGG
rnacentral:rRNA from 1 species